rnacentral:rRNA from 1 species
AUCCUGGCUCAGAUUGAACGCUGGCGGCAUGCUUACACAUGCAAGUCGAACGGAAACAGAGAGCUUGCUCUUGGCUGUCGAGUGGCGGACGGGUGAGUAACGCGUGGGAAUCUACCCUAGUGGAGGACAGCCAGGAGAAAUCCUGAUUAAUACUGCAUACGAUCUACGGAUGAAAUGGCCUCUAUUUAUACGCUAUCGCUAUUGGAUGAGCCCGCGUUAGAUUAGCUAGUUGGGGGUAAAGGCCUACCAAGGCGACGAUCUAUAGCUGGUCUGAGAGGACGACCAGCCACAGGGACUGAGACACGGCCCGGACUCCUACGGGAGGCAGCAGUGGGGAAUAUUGGACAAUGCGCAAGCCUGAUCCAGCAAUGCCGCGUGUGUGAAGAAGGCCUUAGGGUUGUAAAGCAUUCAAUUGUGAAGAAGUUAAUAAGUUUAAUACACUUGUUAAUUGACGUUAACUUUAGAAAGCACCGGCUAACUCUGUGCCAGCAGCCGCGGUAAUACAGAGGGUGCGAGCGUUAAUGAAUUACUGGGCGUAAAGCGCGCGUAGGCGGUUAUUUAAGUCAGAUGUGAAAUCCCAGCUCAACCUUGGAACUGCAUCUGAUACUGGGUAACUAGAGUUUAGGAGAGGGAAGUAGAUUCAGGUGUAGCGGUGAAAUGCAUAGAGAUCUGAAGGAAUACCAGUGGCGAAGGCGACCCUGGCCUAGAACUGACGCUGAGGUGCGAAAGCGUGGGUAGCAAACGGGAUUAGAUACCGGUAGUCCACGCCGUAAACGAUGUCAACUAGUCGCUGGACCCCUUGAGGGUUUAGUGGCAGCUAACGCAUUAAGUUGACCGCCUGGGGAGUACGGUCGCAAGACUAAAACUCAAAAAUUGACGGGGGCCCGCACAAGCGGUGGAGCAUGUGGUUUAAUUCGAUGCAACGCGAAACCUUACCAUCCCUUGACAUCCGGAGAAUUUGCAAGAGAUUGCUUAGUGCCUUCGGGAUCCGUGACAGGUGCUGCACGGCUGUCGUCAGCUCGUGUCGUGAGAUGUUGGGUUAAGUCGCAACGAGCGCAACCCCUAUCCUUGGUUGCUAACAGGUUAAGCUGAGAACUCCAGGGACUGCCGGUGACAAACCGGAGGAAGGUGGGGACGACGUCAAGUCAUCAUGGCCCUUAUGAUGGGCUACACACGUGCUACAAUGGCCGGUACAGAGGGUCGCGAACUCGCGAGAGUACUAAUCCCACAAAGCCGGUCGUAGUCCGGAUUGGAGUCUGCAACUCGACUCCAUGAAGGGAAUCGCUAGUAAUCGUGGAUCAGAAUGCCACGGUGAAUACGUUCCCGGGCCUUGUACACCGCCCGUCACACCAUGGGAGUGGGCUGCAAAAGAAGUGGGUAGACUAACCUUCGGUGUCGCACACCACUUUGUGGUUCAUGACUGGGGUGAAGUC